AUUGAACGCUGGCGGCAGGCCUAACACAUGCAAGUCGAACGGUAGCACAGAGAGCUUGCUCUCGGGUGACGAGUGGCGGACGGGUGAGUAAUGUCUGGGAAACUGCCUGAUGGAGGGGGAUAACUACUGGAAACGGUAGCUAAUACCGCAUAACGUCGCAAGACCAAAGAGGGGGACCUUCGGGCCUCUUGCCAUCAGAUGUGCCCAGAUGGGAUUAGCUAGUAGGUGGGGUAACGGCUCACCUAGGCGACGAUCCCUAGCUGGUCUGAGAGGAUGACCAGCCACACUGGAACUGAGACACGGUCCAGACUCCUACGGGAGGCAGCAGUGGGGAAUAUUGCACAAUGGGCGCAAGCCUGAUGCAGCCAUGCCGCGUGUAUGAAGAAGGCCUUCGGGUUGUAAAGUACUUUCAGCGGGGAGGAAGGUGUUGUGGUUAAUAACCGCAGCAAUUGACGUUACCCGCAGAAGAAGCAC
rnacentral:rRNA from 1 species